AACAGGAUUAGAUACCCUGGUAGUCCACGCCGUAAACGAUGCCGACUUGGAGGUUGUGCCCUUGAGGCGUGGCUUCCGGAGCUAACGCGUUAAGUCGACCGCCUGGGGAGUACGGCCGCAAGGUUAAAACUCAAAUGAAUUGACGGGGGCCCGCACAAGCGGUGGAGCAUGUGGUUUAAUUCGAUGCAACGCGAAGAACCUUACCUGGUCUUGACAUCCACAGAACUUUCCAGAGAUGGAUUGGUGCCUUCGGGAACUGUGAGACAGGUGCUGCAUGGCUGUCGUCAGCUCGUGUUGUGAAAUGUUGGGUUAAGUCCCGCAACGAGCGCAACCCUUAUCUUUUGUUGCCAGCGGUCCGGCCGGGAGCUCAAAGGAGACUGCCAGUGAUAAACUGGAGGAAGGUGGGGAUGACGUCAAGUCAUCAUGGCCCUUACGACCAGGGCUACACACGUGCUACAAUGGCGCAUACAAAGAGAAGCGACCUCGCGAGAGCAAGCGGACCUCAUAAAGUGCGUCGUAGUCCGGAUUGGAGUCUGCAACUCGACUCCAUGAAGUCGGAAUCGCUAGUAAUCGUGGAUCAGAAUGCCACGGUGAAUACGUUCCCGGGCCUUGUACACACCGCCCGUCACACCAUGGGAGUGGGUUGCAAAAGAAGUAGGUAGCUUAACCUUCGGGAGGGCGCUUACCACUUUGUGAUUCAUGACUGGGGUGAAGUCGUAACAAGGUAACC
rnacentral:rRNA from 1 species